CCUACGGGAGGCAGCAGUAGGGAAUAUUGCUCAAUGGGGGAAACCCUGAAGCAGCAACGCCGCGUGGAGGAUGAAGGUUUUCGGAUUGUACACUCCUUUUGUUAGAGAAGAUAAUGACGGUAUCUAACGAAUAAGCACCGGCUAACUCCGUGCCAGCAGCCGCCGUAAUACGGAGGGUGCAAGCGUUACUCGGAAUCACUGGGCGUAAAGAGCGCGUAGGCGGGAUAGCAAGUCAGAUGGUAAAUCCUAUGGCUUAACCAUAGAACUGCAUUUGAAACUGUUAUUCUAGAGUAUGGGAGAGGUAGGUGGAAUGCUUGGUGUAGGGGUAAAAUCCGUAGAGAUCAAGAGGAAUACUCAUUGCGAAGGCGACCUGCUAGAACAUAACUGACGCUGAUGCGCGAAAGCGUGGGUAGCAAACAGGAUUAGAUACCCCUGUAGUC
rnacentral:rRNA from 1 species